GUCAUACUUCCAAGAAAAGCUUGCACUGUCAUAAACAAAUAAUGCCUGUACCAUAACCGACACAGGUGGGUAGGUAGAGUAUACUAAGGGGCGCGAGAUAACUCUCUCUAAGGAACUCGGCAAAAUGACUCCGUAACUUCGGGAGAAGGAGUGCCUUAUUUAUAAGGUUGCAAUAACAAGAUCCAAGCAACUGUUUACCAAAAACACAGGUCUCCGCUAAGUCGUAAGACGAUGUAUGGGGGCUGACGCCUGCCCAGUGCCAGAAGGUUAAAGAAGUUGGUUAGCAUCCGCGAAGCUGAUAACUGAAGCCCUGGUGAACGGCGGCCGUAACAAUAACGGUCCUAAGGUAGCGAAAUUCCUUGUCGGGUAAGUUCCGACCCGCACGAAAGGCGUAAUGAUUUGGAUACUGUCUCGGAGAGGGGCUCGGUGAAAUAGACUUGUCUGUGAAGAUGCGGACUACCUGCACCAGGACAGAAAGACCCUAUGAAGCUUUACUGUAACCUGAAAUUGAAAUUGGACUUUACUUGCGCAGUAUAGGUGGGAGGCGUUGAGAAUAUUCUUGCGGGAUUACUGGAGCCAUCAGUGAGAUACCACUCUUGUAAUGUUAGAUUUCUAACUUUGUAUCAUUAUCUGGUCAAAGAACAGUUUCAGGCGGGCAGUUUGGCUGGGGCGGUCGCCUCCUAAACGGUAACGGAGGCGCACAAAGGUUUCCUCUGAACGGGUAGAAAUCGUAUCUAGAGUGUAAAGGCAUAAGGAAGCUUGACUGUGAGACCUACAAGUCGAGCAGGGACGAAAGUCGGUCUUAGUGAUCUGACGGUGCUGAGUGGAAAGGCCGUCACUCAACGGAUAAAAGUUACUCUAAGGAUAACAGGCUGAUCUCCCCCAAGAGUUCACAUCGACGGGGAGGUUUGGCACCUCGAUGUCGGCUCAUCGCAUCCUGGGGCGGUAGUACGUCCCAAGGGUUGGGCUGUUCGCCCAUGAAAGCGGUACGCGAGCUGGGUUCAGAACGUCGUGAGACAGUUCGGUCCAUAUCCGGUGUAGGCGUUAGAAUAUUGAGAGGAGCCUUCUUUAGUACGAGGGGACCGAGAAGGACAUACCUCUGGUGUACCAGUUAUCGUGCCAACGGUAAACGCUGGGUAGCUAUGUGUGGAGUGGAUAACCGCUGAAAGCAUCUAAGUGGGAAGCCCACCUCAAGAUAAGUAUUCUC
rnacentral:rRNA from 1 species